CAAUAGCGUAUAUUAAAGUUGUUGCAGUUAAAAAGCUCGUAGUUGGAUCUCAGGAGGACUUCAGUUGGUCGGCCGAACUGGUCAGAACCGUCUGUCUCUUCCUUGUUUCUGAAUCCCGCCUGGAGUUCAUUCUUCAGGUGUGGACUUCAGAUCGUUUACCUUGAAAAAAUUAGAGUGUUCAAAGCGGGCGUUUGCUUGAAUAUAUUAGCAUGGAAUAAUGGAAUAGGACCCUGGUCCUAUUUUGUUGGUUUUGAGGACUAGAGUAAUGAUUAAUAGGGAUAGUUGGGGGCAUUAGUACUUAACUGUCAGAGGUGAAAUUCUCCGAUUUGUUAAAGACUAACUUAUGCGAAAGCAUUUGCCAAGGAUGUUUUCAUUAAUCAAGAACGAAAGUUAGGGGAUCAAAGACGAUCAGAUACCGU
rnacentral:rRNA from 1 species